GACGAACGCUGGCGGCGUGCCUAACACAUGCAAGUCGAACGGAGAUAUGAUUUCGGUUGUAUCUUAGUGGCGAACGGGUGAGUAACGCGUGAGCAACCUGACUCUUAGAGGGGGAUAACACUCGGAAACGGGUGCUAAUACCGCAUAAGACCACGACAUGGCGUCAUGACGAGGUCAGAGGAGCAAUCCGCUGAGAGAGGGGCUCGCGUCCCAUUAGAUAGAUGGCGGGGUAACGGCCCACCAUGUCAACGAUGGGUAGCCGAGCUGAGAGGCUGAUCGGCCACACUGGAACUGAGACACGGUCCAGACUCCUACGGGAGGCAGCAGUGGGGAAUAUUGGGCAAUGGGCGCAAGCCUGACCCAGCAACGCCGCGUGAGGUAAGAAGGCUUUCGGGUUGUGAACCUCUGUCCUUGGUGACGAAACAAAUGACGGUAGCCAAGGAGGAAGCCCCGGCUAACUACGUGCCAGCCGCCGCGGUAA
rnacentral:rRNA from 1 species